UACGGGGGGUGCGAGCGUUGUCCGGAUUCACUGGGCGUAAAGGGCGCGUAGGCGGCCCGGUCAGUCGGGUCUGUAAGUGCGGGGCUCACCCCCGUGACGGACUCGGGACGGCCGGGCUGGGGCGCGGCAGAGGGAGACGGAAUGCCGGGUGUAGUGGUGAAAUGCGUAGAGAUCCGGCGGAACACCGGUGGCGAAGGCGGUCUCCUGGGCCGAGGGCCGACGCUGAGGCGCGAGAGCGUGGGGAGCGAACCGG
rnacentral:rRNA from 1 species